CCUACGGGGGGCAGCAGUGAGGAAUAUUGGUCAAUGGCCGUAAGGCUGAACCAGCCAAGUCGCGUGAAGGAAGAAGGAUCUAUGGUUUGUAAACUUCUUUUAUAGGGGAAUAAAGGUAUCCACGUGUGGAUAUUUGCAUGUACCCUAUGAAUAAGCAUCGGCUAACUCCGUGCCAGCAGCCGCGGUAAUACGGAGGAUGCGAGCGUUAUCCGGAUUUAUUGGGUUUAAAGGGUGCGUAGGUUGUUUUUUAAGUCAGCGGUGAAAGUUUGGGGCUCAACCAUAAAAUUGCCGUUGAAACUGGCAGACUUGAGUGUGUUUGAGGUAGGCGGAAUGCGCGGUGUAGCGGUGAAAUGCAUAGAUAUCACGCAGAACUCCGAUUGCGAAGGCAGCUUACUAGGCCAUAACUGACACUGAAGCACGAAAGCGUGGGGAUCAAACAGGAUUAGAUACCCGGGUAGUC
rnacentral:rRNA from 1 species